rnacentral:rRNA from 1 species
AAAUUGAAGAGUUUGAUCAUGGCUCAGAUUGAACGCUGGCGGCAGGCCUAACACAUGCAAGUCGAACGGUAGCACAGAGAGCUUGCUCUCGGGUGACGAGUGGCGGACGGGUGAGUAAUGUCUGGGAAACUGCCUGAUGGAGGGGGAUAACUACUGGAAACGGUGGCUAAUACCGCAUAACGUCGCAAGACCAAAGAGGGGGACCUUCGGGCCUCUUGCCAUCAGAUGUGCCCAGAUGGGAUUAGCUUGUUGGUGAGGUAACGGCUCACCAAGGCGACGAUCCCUAGCUGGUCUGAGAGGAUGACCAGCCACACUGGAACUGAGACACGGUCCAGACUCCUACGGGAGGCAGCAGUGGGGAAUAUUGCACAAUGGGCGCAAGCCUGAUGCAGCCAUGCCGCGUGUAUGAAGAAGGCCUUCGGGUUGUAAAGUACUUUCAGCGGGGAGGAAGGUGUUGUGGUUAAUAACCGCAGCAAUUGACGUUACCCGCAGAAGAAG